CUUUUCCCCCUUUGCUUCACAGAUAUCAUGCAGGACACAGCAGGCAGCUUUAACCAUUGGGAAAUUUUUCUCACUGAGAUCCGAUCUUGUGAGUAAACAGCACCAGCACCUCUUCAACUAACCAAAGGAACAUUCAA